UGACACCAGGAAGCUGAGAUGCGGUUUCUAUCCACGGUCACUUCCCUUCUCUGUACAGUCGAGCAGGAACGAGGGUCUCUCGACUUCAAUGAGCUGCGUUAUCAAGGAUGAUAAGAAUCACAGAGGAGCAACAACUUCCCAGUGACUCUACAAUUGUGGACUGUCAAAAUAAAAUCUCACUGAGCCUUUUCCUGCAUCUUUCUCUCAUUCCAGCAGUCCUGAUUACAGGAGUGCUGUCAUUUCUUCAGAGACGAGCACAGAGACUGACCAUUGACCAGAGGCUGCCGUUUCUAAAGGGCCGUUUUGGUAU